rnacentral:rRNA from 1 species
AGGACGAACGCUGGCGGCGUGCUUAACACAUGCAAGUCGAGCGACGCUCCUCCUUCGGGAGGAUGACGGAGCGGCGAACGGGUGAGUAACACGUGGGCAACCUGCCCCUAGCUCUGGGAUAACCCCGGGAAAUCGGGACUAAUACCGGAUAUGAAGUCGGACGGCAUCGUCUGACUUGGAAAGUUUUUCGGCUAGGGAUGGGCCCGCGGCCUAUCAGCUUGUUGGUGGGGUAAUGGCCUACCAAGGCGACGACGGGUAGCCGGCCUGAGAGGGCGACCGGCCACACUGGGACUGAGACACGGCCCAGACUCCUACGGGAGGCAGCAGUGGGGAAUAUUGCACAAUGGGCGAAAGCCUGAUGCAGCGACGCCGCGUGAGGGAUGACUGCCUUCGGGUUGUAAACCUCUUUCAGCAGGGACGAAGCGAAAGUGACGGUACCUGCAGAAGAAGCACCGGCAACUACGCGCCAGCAGCCGCGGUAA